GGGUUGUGAGGUUAAGCGACUAAGCGUACACGGUGGAUGCCCUGGCAGUCAGAGGCGAUGAAGGACGUGCUAAUCUGCGAAAAGCGUCGGUAAGGUGAUAUGAACCGUUAUAGCCGGCGAUGUCCGAAUGGGGAAACCCAGUGCAAUUCGUUGCACUAUCGUUUGAUGAAUACAUAGUCAAACGAGGCGAACCGGGGGAACUGAAACAUCUAAGUACCCCGAGGAAAAGAAAUCAACCGAGAUUCCCCCAGUAGCGGCGAGCGAACGGGGAGCAGCCCGGAGUCUGAAUCAGCUUGUGUGUUAGUGGAAGCGUCUGGAAAGUCGCAGGGUACAGGGUGAUACUCCCGUACACUAAAACGCACAGGUUGUGAACUCGAAGAGUAGGGCGGGACACGUGGUAUCCUGUCUGAAUAUGGGGGGACCAUCCUCCAAGGCUAAAUACUCCUGACUGACCGAUAGUGAACCAGUACCGUGAGGGAAAGGCGAAAAGAACCCCGGCGAGGGGAGUGAAAAAGAACCUGAAACCGUGUACGUACAAGCAGUAGGAGCCUCUUUAUGGGGUGACUGCGUACCUUUUGUAUAAUGGGUCAGCGACUUAUAUUCUGUAGCAAGGUUAACCGUAUAGGGGAGCCGCAGGGAAACCGAGUCUUAACUGGGCGUUAAGUUGCAGGGUAUAGACCCGAAACCCGGUGAUCUAGCCAUGGGCAGGUUGAAGGUUGGGUAACACUAACUGGAGGACCGAACCGACUAAUGUUGAAAAAUUAGCGGAUGACUUGUGGCUGGGGGUGAAAGGCCAAUCAAACCGGGAGAUAGCUGGUUCUCCCCGAAAGCUAUUUAGGUAGCGCCUCGUGAAUUCAUCUUCGGGGGUAGAGCACUGUUUCGGCUAGGGGGUCAUCCCGACUUACCAACCCGAUGCAAACUACGAAUACCGAAGAAUGUUAUCACGGGAGACACACGGCGGGUGCUAACGUCCGUCGUGAAGAGGGAAACAACCCAGACCGCCAGCUAAGGUCCCAAAGUCAUGGUUAAGUGGGAAACGAUGUGGGAAGGCCCAGACAGCCAGGAUGUUGGCUUAGAAGCAGCCAUCAUUUAAAGAAAGCGUAAUAGCUCACUGGUCGAGUCGGCCUGCGCGGAAGAUGUAACGGGGCUAAACCAUGCACCGAAGCUGCGGCAGCGACACUAUGUGUUGUUGGGUAGGGGAGCGUUCUGUAAGCCGUUGAAGGUGGCCUGUGAGGGUUGCUGGAGGUAUCAGAAGUGCGAAUGCUGACAUAAGUAACGAUAAUGCGGGUGAAAAACCCGCACGCCGGAAGACCAAGGGUUCCUGUCCAACGUUAAUCGGGGCAGGGUGAGUCGACCCCUAAGGCGAGGCCGAAAGGCGUAGUCGAUGGGAAACAGGUUAAUAUUCCUGUACUCGGUGUUACUGCGAAGGGGGGACGGAGAAGGCUAUGUUGGCCGGGCGACGGUUGUCCCGGUUUAAGCAUGUAGGCGGAUGUUCCAGGUAAAUCCGGAACGUUACUAACGCUGAGGUGUGAUGACGAGGCACUACGGUGCUGAAGUGACAAAUGCCCUGCUUCCAGGAAAAGCCUCUAAGCAUCAGGUAACAUCAAAUCGUACCCCAAACCGACACAGGUGGUCAGGUAGAGAAUACCAAGGCGCUUGAGAGAACUCGGGUGAAGGAACUAGGCAAAAUGGUGCCGUAACUUCGGGAGAAGGCACGCUGAUAUGUAGGUGAAGUGGUUUACCCAUGGAGCUGAAAUCAGUCGAAGAUACCAGCUGGCUGCAACUGUUUAUUAAAAACACAGCACUGUGCAAACACGAAAGUGGACGUAUACGGUGUGACGCCUGCCCGGUGCCGGAAGGUUAAUUGAUGGGGUUAUCCGUAAGGAGAAGCUCUUGAUCGAAGCCCCGGUAAACGGCGGCCGUAACUAUAACGGUCCUAAGGUAGCGAAAUUCCUUGUCGGGUAAGUUCCGACCUGCACGAAUGGCGUAAUGAUGGCCAGGCUGUCUCCACCCGAGACUCAGUGAAAUUGAACUCGCUGUGAAGAUGCAGUGUACCCGCGGCAAGACGGAAAGACCCCGUGAACCUUUACUAUAGCUUGACACUGAACACUGGUCCUUGAUGUGUAGGAUAGGUGGGAGGCUUUGAAGUGUGGACGCCAGUCUGCAUGGAGCCAUCCUUGAAAUACCACCCUUUAAUGGCUGGUGUUCUAACGUGGGCCCCUAAUCGGGGUUGCGGACAGUGUCUGGUGGGUAGUUUGACUGGGGCGGUCUCCUCCUAAAGAGUAACGGAGGAGCACGAAGGUCAGCUAAUCCUGGUCGGACAUCAGGAGGUUAGUGCAAUGGCAUAAGCUGGCUUGACUGCGAGCGUGACGGCGCGAGCAGGUGCGAAAGCAGGUCAUAGUGAUCCGGUGGUUCUGAAUGGAAGGGCCAUCGCUCAACGGAUAAAAGGUACUCCGGGGAUAACAGGCUGAUACCGCCCAAGAGUUCAUAUCGACGGCGGUGUUUGGCACCUCGAUGUCGGCUCAUCACAUCCUGGGGCUGAAGUAGGUCCCAAGGGUAUGGCUGUUCGCCAUUUAAAGUGGUACGCGAGCUGGGUUUAGAACGUCGUGAGACAGUUCGGUCCCUAUCUGCCGUGGGCGCUGGAGAAUUGAGGGGGGCUGCUCCUAGUACGAGAGGACCGGAGUGGACGCAUCACUGGUGUUCGGGUUGUCAUGCCAAUGGCAUUGCCCGGUAGCUAAAUGCGGAAGAGAUAAGUGCUGAAAGCAUCUAAGCACGAAACUUGCCCCGAGAUGAGUUCUCCCUGACUCCUUGAGAGUCCUGAAGGAACGUUGAAGACGACGACGUUGAUAGGCCGGGUGUGUAAGCGCAGCGAUGCGUUGAGCUAACCGGUACUAAUGAACCGUGAGGCUUAACCUUACAACGCCGAAG
rnacentral:rRNA from 1 species